rnacentral:lncRNA from 1 species
UUUCUCUCUUCUCUUGAUUUGAUUUCUUUGCUAUUCAUCCAUAGAUAAAGACCCUCUCUAUUUAUAGAUAAUUCUCAUGACCCAAUAAGUAUAAGAGUUCUAACUCAAAUCAUAUUUGAAUCAGUCCAAUACUCAAAAAAAAAAGAUUCCUACAAGAGAUAUAAUUGCUAUCACAUAUGACAACUAAUUUGCACCCACUCCCUCACCUACAUGGGACACCCCAAAUGAGCAAAGCUUCAGGUGUUGGUCAGCCCAUAAUAGAGAAAAAUCUUAGUGUAAGUGAGAAUACUCAUAUCUCAUUAAAAAUAGAUCCGAUUCAAAUCUAAUUCGAAGUUAGUUCAAAAUAAUUUCGAAAGGCUGUCAAUUCCAAACUCUUUAGGACUUUUGUACAAAGUCUAACUUGAAUUUUGAAUCCGAUUAAGAUUAAUUGAUUUAGAUCUAAUCUAAAAUUAAUUAACACUUAAAUCUAAUCUUUCAUAUGCUCCAUGAAUCAUAGAUCAGAAACUGUUCAUCUCUGAGAUCGAACCUGAAC